UAUUCCUACGGGAGGCAGCAGUAGGGAAUUUUCGUCAAUGGGCGCAAGCCUGAACGAGCAAUGCCGCGUGAACGAGGAAGGUCUUCGGAUCGUAAAGUUCUGUUGAAGGGGAAAAAGAGCGGAGAGAGGAAAUGAACUCCGAUUGAUAUUACCCUUCGAGGAAGUCACGGCUAACUACGUGCCAGCAGCCGCGGUAAUACGUAGGUGGCGAGCGUUAUCCGGAUUUAUUGGGUUUAAAGGGUGCGUAGGCGGGCUUUUAAGUCAGCGGUAAAAAUUCGGGGCUCAACCCCGUCCGGCCGUUGAAA
rnacentral:rRNA from 1 species